GGGGACAUUUAUGGUUUCUAUUGAAAGAUUCGUCCAGAUUAUAUGCUUUCAGGGAGCUGUCUUUGGCUUCCUUGAUCAAACAAAGACAAAGAUAACUGCAAAAAAUAGAAUUGCAAAAGGUCUAGCUGCUUUCAAAACUAGCUUUGCUCCUGUAAGUGUUGUUGCUUAAUAGCCUUCUAACUUACGAAACGUAGCCUUUGCUUAGCAAUGAUGUCAUAUGACUGCUACAACAUUUUUAAAAGAGUAAAUCUUGGACUUUUUUAAGAAUUAUUUACCAAGAUUUGUAAAAUAAUUUUUUGAAAUUUUCUUUGUUUUACAAUAUUAGAAAAAUUUUAUUUUGAAAUACUUUUUGUUUGUUUUUUAUUUUUCAAAAUUAAUUAAAAUAAACUAUGAAAGUAGAUGUAUUUUCUUGGCCUUUCAAGACAUGGGUUCAAAUCCCAUUGUCUCCACCA
rnacentral:tmRNA from 2 species